rnacentral:rRNA from 1 species
GGGGGGGGGGGGGGGGGGGGCGGGGGGGGGCGAGUCGGGGGAGCAGACGAGGAGCUUGCUCCUGUGACGGUAGCGGCGGACGGGUGAGUAACACGUGGAUAACCUACCUAUCAGACUGGGAUAACUUCGGGAAACCGGAGCUAAUACCGGAUAAUAUAUUGAACCGCAUGGUUCAAUAGUGAAAGACGGGGUUGCUGUCACUUAUAGAUGGAUCCGCGCCGCAUUAGCUAGUUGGUAAGGUACCGGCUUACCAAGGCAACGAUGCGUAGCCGACCUGAGAGGGUGAUCGGCCACACUGGAACUGAGACACGGUCCAGACUCCUACGGGAGGCAGCAGUAGGGAAUCUUCCGCAAUGGGCGAAAGCCUGACGGAGCAACGCCGCGUGAGUGAUGAAGGUCUUCGGAUCGUAAAACUCUGUUAUUAGGGAAGAACAAAUGUGUAAGUAACUAUGCACGUCUUGACGGUACCUAAUCAGAAAGCCACGGCUAACUACGUG